AAACUCAAAGGAAUUGACGGGGGCCCGCACAAGCGGCGGAGCAUGCUGAUUAAUUCGAUGCAACGCGAAGAACCUUACCAAGGCUUGACAUGCACCGGACGACUCCAGAGAUGGGGUUUUCUUCGGACUGGUGCACAGGUGGUGCAUGGUUGUCGUCAGCUCGUGUCGUGAGAUGUUGGGUUAAGUCCCGCAACGAGCGCAACCCUCGUUCUAUGUUGCCAGCACGUCAUGGUGGGGACUCAUAGGAGACUGCCGGGGUCAACUCGGAGGAAG
rnacentral:rRNA from 1 species